ensembl:lncRNA
GGAAGUGAGGUUCCCAUAGAGGUGUCCCCAUGGAAUCGUCCCCAUAGAGGUGGUGCUGUCCCCAUAGAGACGGCCCCAUGGAAAUGCUGUCCCCAUAGAGAUGAACCCAUGGAUUUGGUGCUGUCCCCAUAGGGAGGUCCCCAUAGAGAUGUCCCCAUGGAGGUGAGGUUCCCAUACAGAUGUCCCCAUAGAGGUGUCCCCAUAGAGGUGAUGUCCCCAUAGAGGUGUCCCCAUGGAAGUGGUGUCCCAGUGGAGAUGUCCCCAUAGGGAUGUCCCCAUAGAGGUGUCCCCAUAGGGAUGACCCCAUGGAGGUGGUUUUCCCAUAGGAGGACCCCCCCCCGGGCUGUCACCACCCACUUAUGGGGAGGGAAGAGUGGUGGGGGGGGGGGUGGAGAUGGGGGGAUGAGAAGGGGGGGAGUGGAUAUGGGGGCGAUGGGGGAUCACCGGGGUUGUAUGGGGACGUGGGGAUCCAUGGGGCAGCGGGACCCCCCCUCACCUUCCGGGCUGUUACCCCCCCGUGCCCACCCCACUUAUUGGGAGGAGACAGUGGGGGUAAACUUAACCUUCCCAUCCCCAAAUCCCCCACGCGUGUCUCGAGCCCACGCGAGACCAUUCAACUCCACCCUCAUUAACUCCCCCCCCCCCCCCCCCCUCCAAAAGCCCCAUGGCCACCCGUGGCCCCUCCCCGCCCCCC